rnacentral:rRNA from 1 species
GUUAACGCGGUGUGCGUAGGCGUGGUGAGAAAGGGGGUGGAAGCGUUAAGAGGGUUGAGUGUGAGUAAAGCGCGCGUAGGCGGCUAGUUAAGUCAAAUGGGAGAUCCGCGAGCUUAACUGGGGAAGUGCUGUCGAUGCUGGGUAGCUAGAGUGUGGGAGAGGAUGGUAGGAGUCCAGGUGUAGCGGUGAAAUGCGUAGAGAGCUGGAGGAAUACCGAUGGCGAAGGCAGCCAUCUGGCCUAACACUGACGCUGAGGUGCGAAAGCAUGGGGAGCAAACAGGAUGAGAUACCCGAGUAGUC